AAUAAAAUAACAUUUGUACCGCAGACAGCAGGUGCCGAAAGGCUUAAUCUCCUGCCGAGGUCAUACGAUAGAUUUACACGAUACACUAUUGUAUACUCCCUCCAUGUCUGUUUGACCUGGAGGUUUUUUAUUGCCUGG
rfam:Bacillus sp. SA2-6 scf7180000001096, whole genome shotgun sequence.